UACGUAGGGUGCGAGCGUUAAUCGGAAUUACUGGGCGUAAAGCGUGCGCAGGCGGCUUCGCAAGUCAGACGUGAAAUCCCCGGGCUUAACCUGGGAAUGGCGUUUGAAACUACGGAGCUGGAGUGUGGCAGAGGGAGGUAGAAUUCCACGUGUAGCGGUGAAAUGCGUAGAUAUGUGGAGGAAUACCGAUGGCGAAGGCAGCCUCCUGGGCCAACACUGACACUGAGGAGCGAAAGCCAGGGGAGCAAACGGG
rnacentral:rRNA from 1 species